rnacentral:rRNA from 1 species
AUUGAACGCUGGCGGCAGGCCUAACACAUGCAAGUCGAGCGGAUGAAGGGAGCUUGCUCCUGGAUUCAGCGGCGGACGGGUGAGUAAUGCCUAGGAAUCUGCCUGGUAGUGGGGGAUAACGUCCGGAAACGGGCGCUAAUACCGCAUACGUCCUGAGGGAGGAAGUGGGGGAUCUUCGGACCUCACGCUAUCAGAUGAGCCUAGGUCGGAUUAGCUAGUUGGUGGGGUAAAGGCCUACCAAGGCGACGAUCCGUAACUGGUCUGAGAGGAUGAUCAGUCGCACUGGAACUGAGACACGGUCCAGACUCCUACGGGAGGCAGCAGUGGGGAAUAUUGGACAAUGGGCGAAAGCCUGAUCCAGCCAUGCCGCGUGUGUGAAGAAGGUCUUCGGAUUGUAAAGCACUUUAAGUUGGGAGGAAGGGCAGUAAGUUAAUACCUUGCUGUUUUGACGUUACCAACAGAAUAAGCACCGGCUAACUUCGUG